UCCACUCGUGUCGAGUUGAUCUUUA
rnacentral:piRNA from 1 species